rnacentral:lncRNA from 1 species
GUGGUGUGUAACCCCCUUCCUGUUAACGACGUCUUUUUUGCCGCUGCCCAUCGCAACUUUUGUGGUUUUGAUUUAGCCGGGAAAUUACCGACUGUCACGUAUAAUCGAGUGACAACUUAGAUGCACGGGUGGACAUAAUUAACUCUUGCAAGGUUCGUGUUUACUCGAGUCCUCAAUUUAAGUUCAUCCUCUGCAUAAUCGGGUUCGUUCUGUAUCAGCUAGUAAGGAUUGAGUUCACGGACGCAAUUCGUAAGCUCGUGUAUGGGAUGGUUUUGUUGACAUGUAGGACUGCUGACAUUGGCCAAAAGGAAAGUUAUUGGACGAACAGGUCCAAUACAGAUCCACAAAGGAGGCCUAGAAAAAAACUCGGGAGGUACUGCUGCAGAAUUGUCGUUGCAGUGUCAACGAAAGGUGGCGUGGAGGAACUGAACCUGUUCACUACGCAACACAAACAACCGUGACAGCUGUCAUACGCCACGUUAGUAAGCUUAUGCUGGGCUCUAGACUCGCCAAUCUCCGCCGCCACGUAUAAAUCUUUUGGAGCAUUGGAUUUCUCUCGAUGCAUACUUACACCAUUAUACGUACUUUAUGUACCUGCUCAAGAGAAUCCAUUCAUCAUGCACAAAUUACAGAUUCAAGGUUUCGACGCAGGCGGAAGCUGCCAACGUGAAACCGCCCUUUUGGACCAGGCUGAGCUGUGCACCUUGUGACAGAGGCCUGACUCCAUGGAUAUGAGCCACCAGAAACUCCACAAACUGGAUGCCCAACUGGGGCUGAACAUUACUCCGUGAGAGACAUCAUCCAUG